GCUGGGCACGGUGGUGCAUGCCUGUAAUCCCAGCACUUCGGGAGGCUGAGGUGGGAGGAUUACUUGAGCCCAGGAGUUUGACACUGCAGUGAGCCAUGAUCACGCCACUGCACUUCAGCCUGGGUGACAUAGUGAGACCCAGUCUCUA
rnacentral:SRP_RNA from 2 species